rnacentral:rRNA from 1 species
UACGUAGGGACCAAGCGUUGUCCGGAAUCAUUGGGCGUAAAGAGCGUGUAGGCGGCCUGUUAAGUCCGCCGUCAAAUCCCAGGGCUCAACUCUGGACAGGCGGUGGAAACUACCAAGCUGGAGUACGGUAGGGGCAGAGGGAAUUUCCGGGUGGAGCGGGUGAAAUGACGUAGAGAUCGGAAAGAACACCAACGGGCGAAAGCAA